UUCUACCUGUGGGUUUCCGGGUGUGGCCCUUUAAAUACUAACCAGCAGCGCCCGGCGCUUGAUAGGAAACUGCAGCAGAGCUCUGUCCUCUUUUCUGGAGAAAACACGAACGAGUGCCGGUCUUUGACAGAAAUGGCAGUGAGGGUAUACGUGGAAUAUUGUGGCGCAUGAGGCUACGCAUCGCGCUAUCAGAGCCUUGCCAGUGAGGUAAAGAAGCAUGUUCCUGAAGCCGAAGUCUCUGGAAGCACAGGACGAAGGACAAGCUUUGAAAUCACUGUCAAUGACCAACUUAUCUUCUCCAAACUGGAAUGCAAAGGCUUUCCUGACACCAAAGAGGUGAUCGAGGCGGUCAGACAAGCCAGCCGCGGAGAGAAAAUGCAGGUGGUGAAAAAGAAGGACAGCUGUGUGGUCAUGUAGCCAGGUCAUGAGAGAGGGAACCAAUUCUUAGCCUGUAGACAGCGAACCGAUUCUGUUAAUGACUGUCUCCAUCGAAAACCAUACAGUAGGUGGGCACACGACUAACUGAGACUCUCUUCUCUUGAUAUCCACAUUUUAAGAAUUGAUUCCCAUCCUUGUUUUCCUGAAUAUAAUACUUUUAUCUAUAUUAUUUUAUGAAUGUGUUUCUUUUUCUCUGCGCCCUGAGAUGUUUCCGUUUUAGAUUUCCGUGGAAGAAGAACACCCACAAAAGUCUUUUAAUUUACAAAUUCGGUUUACAAAACCUUGCCUUUUCUUUUUCAUUUUUAAUGUAAUGAGAAAUAAAAGGCCAGAGUGCAUUUUUGAUGCAUUAAGAGCAAAAUGCCCUUUAAUUGUGUUAGCUGGGAUGUUUGCUCCUUUAAGGAGGCGCAGCAGGAUACAGUAUGUCUUCAAGUUGGGGCGCCUGAGCAGAUUGGCACCCACACCAUUUCCAUGAUGGGAAGCUGCAUCUCAGUCCUCUUUCCUCACUCCCUUCCCUGCAAGCGGGUUCACCUGCAGCCAAUGGUCUUGACAUUGAGGUGUUGGGACUGGCUGUGUUCAGCAAGGAAGGGGGCUGCAGGAAUGACCAAACCCAUCUGAAAGGCCCUGAGAGUUGAAAGUGGGGGUUUUGUCUAAAGAGCGCUCUAUUAAAAGGAUACAUUUGCUGGAAGGAAAUAGUAUUCCUGUGUACAUGCAUUCAUUUUUGUAGAGCUAUUGGGGAAACAAACCAUUAAUGUUUUUAAAGCAGAACAUCCUUCUUUUUUGUUUUAUUGAUAAGGAGAUGUCAUUACCACUUCCUUAAUACUUGCUUAAUGCUCUGUACUGUAUCCCCUUUGUGUAUAAUAAAAGAUGUUUUGCAUCUCA